GUACUUAUCCAGCAGGAGAGAUAGCAUGGUCGCAAUGGGCAAGGCUUAUCCACUGCACUGGAACGCACUGAUUUCUGCAAUGAUUUCCCCAAAUGUAGGAAACUUGACUGCCUAAUCCAUGGGAGUGAGAGACUGCACCCUUCCUUUCCCUGU
rnacentral:snRNA from 1 species